UAAACAUUAUGGUAUGUUCUCUUCGAAGCAGCCAUUGAUCGAUCUCCCUCCAAUAGCUGAAGAGAAUAGAAGAAAUCAGAACACACGAAGUGAAAGAUGUUGAUGGGAUUCAUCUGCUAGCACAAUGGUUUGAUUUUCAGAUUCAUUGCUCCGAUGACAACCGGAUAUCAGAUUCAUUGCUCCUUGCGUGUGUACUAGUUGAUUUUGAAGGUUCUUUUAUAAUGAGCAUACUAUUCCCAGCCUCAUCAUGAGAUCAGGAAGCAAGCUUGCUCAGAUCAGUGACGUAACAUUGCAUGCAGAAUGUCAGGGGCUACUGUCAGCCUCAUGGAAGAUAGACCUGAGCUAAAUGAAAAGGUGGUCCAAAUAUCCGGUAGUUCCGAGCAGGCUGAGAGAGCCCAGAGCCUUCUCCAGGGAUUUAUUCUGAGCACACAAGAUGCCACACCAAGCUAAAUCUGAGCUAUGGGUGUUGGAAAGCCGAGAUCUUGUAAGGUAGCAAUGGAUGCUUUCAGUUUUCACUAGUAAUCUGUUUUCCCAGAAUUUGGCAGUUAUCAACAAUCUUUGUAUAAAAGGCUAAAAGAAAAGAAUGGCCGAUUGAGAAGCUGAGGAAGUUUGAGGUCCCCAAAGCUCCAAAAUAUAUUUUCCUAUCAUUUGUCUAAUGGGACAUGCACCAAUACACUCUGCCAACACUCUUAUGUGACCUGUCUUGCUGCAGCAGAAAAAAAUUCUAA